rnacentral:tRNA from 1 species
ACCUAGCUGGCUCAGUCAGUAGAGCAUGUGACUUUUGAUCUCGGAGCUAUGAGUUCAAGCCUCACGUUGUGUA